rnacentral:rRNA from 1 species
UACGUAGGGGGCAAGCGUUGUUCGGAUUCAUUGGGCGUAAAGCGUCUGUAGGUGGCUUUUCAAGUCCGCCGUCAAAUCCCAGGGCUCAACCCUGGACAGGCGGUGGAAACUACCAAGCUGGAGUACGGUAGGGGCAGAGGGAAUUUCCGGUGGAACGGUGAAAUGCAUUGAGAUCGGAAAGAACACCAACGCGAAAGCACUCUGCUGGGCCGACACUGACACUGAGAGACGAAAGCUAGGGGAGCAAAUGGG